UCGAGCGGAAACGAAGAGGUGCUUGCACCUCUGGCGUCGAGCGGCGGACGGGUGAGUAAUGCUUGGGAAUAUGCCUUAUGGUGGGGGACAACAGUUGGAAACGACUGCUAAUACCGCAUGAUGUCUACGGACCAAAGUGGGGGACCUUCGGGCCUCACGCCAUAAGAUUAGCCCAAGUGGGAUUAGCUAGUUGGUGAGGUAAUGGCUCACCAAGGCGACGAUCCCUAGCUGGUUUGAGAGGAUGAUCAGCCACACUGGGACUGAGACACGGCCCAGACUCCUACGGGAGGCAGCAGUGGGGAAUAUUGCACAAUGGGCGCAAGCCUGAUGCAGCCAUGCCGCGUGUGUGAAGAAGGCCUUCGGGUUGUAAAGCACUUUCAGUAAGGAGGAAAGGUUAAGUGUUAAUAGCACUUAGCUGUGACGUUACUUACAGAAGAAGCACCGGCUAACUCCGUGCCAGCAGC
rnacentral:rRNA from 1 species